rnacentral:tRNA from 1 species
UCUAAUAUGGCAGACUAGUGCAAUGAACUUAAGAUUCAUUUAUAAAUUAAUUUUUGUUAGAA